rnacentral:rRNA from 1 species
UACGGAGGAUGCGAGCGUUAUCCGGAUUUAUUGGGUUUAAAGGGUGCGCAGGCGGGCUGUUAAGCCGGCGGUAAAAAUUCAGGGCUCAACCCUGUCGAGCCGUCGGAACUGGCAGUCUUGAGUGGGCGAGAAGUAUGCGGAAUGCGUGGUGUAGCGGUGAAAUGCGUAGAGAUAUGGAGGAACACCAGUGGCGAAGGCGGCUUCCUGGUCUGCAACUGACACUGAGGCACGAAAGCGUGGGGAUCGAACAGG